rnacentral:rRNA from 1 species
AUUGAACGCUGGCGGCAGGCCUAACACAUGCAAGUCGAACGAGUGGCGGACGGGUGAGUAAUGUCUGGGAAACUGCCUGAUGGAGGGGUAUAACUACUGGAAACGGUAUCUAAUACCGCAUACCAUCAGAUGUGCCCAGAUGGGAUUAGCUAGUUGGUGGGGUAACGGCUCACCAAGGCGACGACCCCUAGCUGGUCUGAGAGGAUGACCAGCGAAACUGGAACUGAGACACGGUCCAGACUCCUACGGUAGGCAGCAGUGGGGAAUAUUGCACAAUGGGCGAAAUCCUGAUGCAGCUAUGCCGCGUGUAUGAAGAAGGCCUUCGGGUUGUAAAGUACUUUCAGCGGGGAGGCGUUACCCGCAGAAGAAGCACCGGCUAACUCCGUGCCAGCAGCCGCGGUAAUAC